rnacentral:rRNA from 1 species
CCUACGGGAGGCAGCAGUGAGGAAUAUUGGUCAAUGGGCUUACGCCUGAACCAGCCAAGUCGCGUGAGGGAAGACUGCCCUAUGGGUUGUAAACCUCUUUUGUCAGGGAGCAACGCCGGCUACGUGUAGCCGGACUUAGAGUACCUUAAGAAAAAGCAUCGUCUAACUCCGUCCCAGCAGCAGCGGUAAUACGUAGGAUGCGGGCUUUAUCCGAAUUUAUUGGGUUAAAGGGGUGCGUAGGCGGAAUGCCAAGUCAGCGGUAAAAUCGCGGGGCUCAACCUCGCUCCGCCGUUGAAACUGGCGUUCUUGAGUGGGCGAGAAGUAUGCGGAAUGCGUGGUGUAGCGGUGAAAUGCAUAGAUAUCACGCAGAACUCCGAUUGCGAAGGCAGCAUACCGGCGCCCAACUGACGCUGAAGCACGAAAGCGUGGGUAUCGAACAGGAUUAGAUACCCCUGUAGUC